GUAGGGAAUAUUGCACAAUGGGCGAAAGCCUGAUGCAGCAACGCCGCGUGCGCGAUGAAGGCCUUCGGGUCGUAAAGCGCUUUUCGGGGGGAUGAGGAAGGACAGUACCCCCGGAAUAAGUGACGGCUAACUACGUGCCAGCAGCCGCGGUAAAACGUAGGUCACGAGCGUUAUCCGGAUUUACUGGGCGUAAAGCGCGUGCAGGCGGUCAGGUAAGUCGGGCGUGAAAUCUCUCGGCUCAACCGGGAGGGGUCGUCCGAAACUACCAGACUAGAGGGCAGUAGAGGGAGGUGGAAUUCCCGGUGUAGUGGUGAAAUGCGUAGAGAUCGGGAGGAACACCUGUGGCGAAGGCGGCCUCCUGGGCUGCCCCUGACGCUCAGACGCGAAAGCUAGGGGAGCGAACGGGAUUAGAAACCCGGGUAGUCC
rnacentral:rRNA from 1 species